CGCACGAUUUGAAUGGCUCUUGGAAGUCUGUGAAUGGCCGUGUAGAGGAAAUGGAUGUCUCUCUAAUAAUGUCUUGCAGUUCUUCUUACUGGAAGUGGUGGAGCCACCUGGCAAGUUACUUUUAGACUUGUCAUUUUAAAAACAUCCUCCCAGUUCUCUUCCAAGUGCAGGAGAAGUCAGGUCCCUAGAAUGCCUCGUCAAAGCCGCAGACAAAGCAAACCCACUGCCACACCUCGGCCGGCUGCCCCACCUCAGCCAAAGUCACAGGUCAGGCCAAAACCAAACUCCCCAGUCAAUGGAAAUACCU